rnacentral:rRNA from 1 species
AUGGCAAAUUUCAGCUUUCCUUUGUAUUGCUCUCAUGGCAGGUUCUUCAAAUUUUGUUGUUUUUAUAUUUGUAAUGGCAAUUCUAUCUUUGUUGACAUGGCAAAUGUAACUACGCAUCCAUGGCAGAUUCUACACUUUUCAUUGCCAUGGCAAUAUAUAGUUUUCACUUGCCAUGGCAAAUUUAGUACCUACAUUGCCAUGCCAAAUUUACUUGUUAAAUUCUGGAAAAUUCUAAAACACGACAAACUUCUUAAGAUCCCGUGCGGGAAGGGGGCUGCGGCGGCUAGGUCAUCGAGGCACCGAUGCAAGGGGAGGCGAUAG